AUAUUGGUGAUGGGGGCAUUGAGCAAGUAACAACUCAAAUCGUUCCCAAGCCUUAUAAAUAGGUUCCCCUUCCAUCUGAGAAAAUGUGCAUAUCUUAUUCCACAAAUCU